rnacentral:rRNA from 1 species
CUGUCGUCUAGCUCGUGUCGUGAGAUGUUGGGUUAAGUCCCGCAACGAGCGUAACCCUCAUCCUUAGUUACCAUCAGGUAAUGCUGGGGACUUUAAGGAAACUGCUAGUGAUAAACUGGAGGAAGGUGGGGAUGAUGUCAAGUCAUCAUGGCCCUUAUGGAGUGGGCUACACACGUGCUACAAUGGUGGCUACAAUGGGCUGCAAAGUCGCGAGGCUAAGCUAAUCCCUUAAAAGCCAUCUCAGUUCGGAUUGUACUCUGCAACUCGAGUGCAUGAAGUUGGAAUCGCUAGUAAUCGUGGAUCAGCAUGCCACGGUGAAUACGUUCUCGGGUCUUGUACACACUGCCCGUCACGCCAUGGGAAUUGGUUUCC